UGGGGAAUCUUGGACAAUGGGGGCAACCCUGAUCCAGCGAUGCCGCGUGAGCGAAGAAGGCCUUAGGGUCGUAAAGCUCUUUCGCCCGCGACGAUGAUGACGGUAGCGGGAGAAGAAGCCCCGGCUAUCUCCGUGCCAGCAGCCGCGGUAAUACGGAGGGGGCUAGCGUUGUCCGGAAUUACUGGGCGUAAAGCGCGCGUAGGCGGUCCACCAAGUAGGGGGUGAAAGCCCGGGGCUCAACCCCGGAAUGUCCUCCGAGACUGUUGGACUGGAGUUCGGGAGAGGAGAGCGGAAUUCCCGGUGUAGAGGUGAAAUUCGUAGAUAUUGGGAAGAACACCGGUGGCGAAGGCGGCUCUCUGGCCCGCAACUGACGCUGAGGCGCGAAAGCGUGGGGAGCGAACA
rnacentral:rRNA from 1 species